UACGGAGGGUGCAAGCGUUGUCCGGAUUUAUUGGGUUUAAAGGGUGCGUAGGCGGCCCCGUUAAGUCAGUGGUGAAAUCCCAGGGCUCAACCCUGGAACUGCCAUUGAUACUGACGGGCUUGAGUUCGGUUAAGGCGGGCGGAACUGGUGGUGUAGCGGUGAAAUGCAUAGAUACCACCAAGAACCCCCGAUUGCGUAGGCAGCUCGCUGAGCCGAAACUGACGCUGAGGCACGAAAGCGUGGGGAGCGAACAGG
rnacentral:rRNA from 1 species